rnacentral:tRNA from 2 species
CGGGGUGUAGCGCAGCCUGGUAGCGCACCUGCUUUGGGAGCAGGGGGUCGGAGGUUCAAAUCCUCUCACCCCGACCA